AACGAACGCUGGCGGCAUGCCUAACACAUGCAAGUCGAACGAGUGCCUUCGGGUGCUAGUGGCGCACGGGUGCGUAACGCGUGGGAAUCUGCCCUUUGGUUCGGAAUAACAGUUGGAAACGACUGCUAAUACCGGAUGAUGACGAAAGUCCAAAGAUUUAUCGCCAGAGGAUGAGCCCGCGUAGGAUUAGCUAGUUGGUGUGGUAAAGGCGCACCAAGGCGACGAUCCUUAGCUGGUCUGAGAGGAUGAUCAGCCACACUGGGACUGAGACACGGCCCAGACUCCUACGGGAGGCAGCAGUGGGGAAUAUUGGACAAUGGGCGAAAGCCUGAUCCAGCAAUGCCGCGUGAGUGACGAAGGCCUUAGGGUUGUAAAGCUCUUUUACCCGGGAUGAUAAUGACAGUACCGGGAGAAUAAGCUCCGGCUAACUCCGUGCCAGCAGCCGCGGUAAUACGGAGGGAGCUAGCGUUGUUCGGAAUUACUGGGCGUAAAGCGCACGUAGGCGGCUUUGUAAGUUAGAGGUGAAAGCCUGGAGCUCAACUCCAGAACUGCCUUUAAGACUGCAUCGCUUGAAUCCAGGAGAGGUGAGUGGAAUUCCGAGUGUAGAGGUGAAAUUCGUAGAUAUUCGGAAGAACACCAGUGGCGAAGGCGGCUCACUGGACUGGUAUUGACGCUGAGGUGCGAAAGCGUGGGGAGCAAACAGG
rnacentral:rRNA from 1 species